CCUACGGGAGACAGCAGUGAGGAAUAUUGGUCAAUGGACGAGAGUCUGAACCAGCCAAGUAGCGUGAAGGAUGACUACCCUAUGGGUUGUAAACUUCUUUUAUAUGGGAAUAAAAUGUUCCACGUGUGGGAUUUUGUAUGUACCAUAUGAAUAAGGAUCGGCUAACUCCGUGCCAGCAGCCGCGGUAAUACGGAGGAUCCGAGCGUUAUCCGGAUUUAUUGGGUUUAAAGGGAGCGUAGGUGGAUUGUUAAGUCAGUUGUGAAAGUUUGCGGCUCAACCGUAAAAUUGCAGUUGAAACUGGAAGUCUUGAGUACAGUAGAGGUGGGCGGAAUUCGUGGUGUAGCGGUGAAAUGCUUAGAUAUCACGAAGAACUCCGAUUGCGAAGGCAGCUCACUGGACUGCAACUGACACUGAGGCUCGAAAGUGUGGGUAUCAAACAGGAUUAGAUACCCCUGUAGUC
rnacentral:rRNA from 1 species